ACGCUCGACACCUACGGGNGGCAGCAGUGGGGAAUAUUGCACAAUGGGGGAAACCCUGAUGCAGCGACGCCGCGUGGAGGAAGAAGGUCUUCGGAUUGUAAACUCCUGUUGUUGGGGAAAAAGAGGAUGGUACCCAACAAGGAAGUGACGGCUAACUACGUGCUAGCAGCCGCGGUAAUCUGAGCGGGCUGGCAAGGC
rnacentral:rRNA from 1 species